CUUGAAGAAGAGAGAUUAGGAGAUGUCGAAGUCGGCAAUGGUGGAGCUGGCAGCAAUUUUCUAUGCACGCCAAUGACACCUAUGGAAUGAUGUAACAAAAGAGGGAGCCCACAGCAACAAGCUUUUGGUGGUUUGAAGUCACUCUCUCAAAGAAUCAGAAGCGGCCAGGAAAAUUCAAUCAUCUUGGGACUGGAAUUUUAGUGCAGGAAAAUGACAACGGAGAAAAAGAGAAAGGAGCUGCUCUUGCUUGGUUAAUCCUGAAGAUAUCAGUAAAGCAUCGCAAAUUGUCUUCCAAAAUAUACCAAGCUUCCAAGCAACUGCAGAAGAGGUGGAUCUCAACAAUGAUGCUCAGUUCAAGGUUUAUUCCAAUGCACCGGAUGGGAAUGAUCCAUUGGCUUUGGACAUGGAAAGCAUAGGGAAGUGCCAGAUAUGGAUUAAUGGAGAAAGCAUAGGAAGAUACUGAAUGGCUUAUGGAAAUGGUGGCUGCAAUUCUUACAGAUAUCUUGAGUUGAUUCUACUUUGCUGUAAAGCGCCAACUCAUGGGAAGCAAAAGGUGAUGAUUUGGAGAGUUAGCAGUAGCAGAUUCAUGCCAGAUUGAUUGCUGCCACAGCAAAGGUCAAGGACUUAGAAAAUUUUAUUUACUGUUGAU